AUACUUACCGGGCAGGGGAGAUACCAUGUCAGAAAGGUGGUUUUCCCUGGGCAGGACUUAUCCAUAAUGUUCACAACUUUUUGAAGCAUGUCAGCAAAAUGAAUACAAGUGUCUUUUCCUUCCUCACCGUUUCACAGACAGUAAAAUUUAUGCUUAGGGCAGAUUUUAGUAGCCUCA
rnacentral:snRNA from 1 species